rfam:Solanum tuberosum cultivar DM 1-3 516 R44 scf00733_4, whole genome shotgun sequence.
AUGUUCGUAGGAAGGAGAGAUGUUUGCAUAUCCCUCGUCAAGGAUGGGAAUAUCCUUCGAUCUUU